AUUGGACAACAUUUUUUUUUUGGGUGGACUUUUGACGUGAUAUCCACUAUAUGUAUCUUAAAUAAAAAAUUUAUAGAUUUUCUGAAAUGUCACUAUCUUUUUGCCAGAAGGUUGUUUUAUUUCCCUUUAAAUAAAAAUUCACUAUUUUAAAGUUGUUUUUGUCCAGUCCAAUUAAUUACAAAUAGAAUUUUCAAAAUAUAUGUCAUAUAUCUUUCAGCAUGAUGGCGUUCAUAUGCCAUUCUUGUCAAGCCAGUUUUCCAGUUUUAAAGCAACACCUGGAGCACCAUAAAUAUCACACAAAUUUAAGUAGUAGCUUUCACUGCGGUUAUAAUGGUUGCAAAGAAUUUUUUGAUACAACAGCGUCCCUCAGAAUGCAUCUUAUUAGAAUACAUAAGAUGUUAAUUAAAGAAACAGAAUUACAACCUCAAUAUUUGACUGUUAUGAACGAAUUUUCAAAGUUUAUUUGCAACGUUUCAAUAUGUAAAAAAGAAUUAGAUAAUUAUCCGCUUUUGCUGAAACACCUUAAACAGCAUAUUUCUCAAGGUUUAUCAAUACAAUGCAUAUUUCCGACCUGUACAACAAAGGGAAAAUAUAGUACUGUAAAUUCAUUCACAAGUCAUAUAUCAAAAUAUCACAGAAAAGAAAAUAAUUGCUUAAACGAAGAUAAUGGUUCUUUGAAUAGGGAUGAAAAUGUUCCCGUACUACAUUUUAAUAAUGUUGAAGAGAUACAAGAUACGAGCCAAGAAUUUGCAGAUAGGGAAGUCGAUUUACCUGAAAAUGUUCGAAAUAGUUUACUUUUGCAAGGAGCAGCUGAACUGUUUUUGAAACUAGAAACUCAGUUUACGAUUCCAGCUAGUACGAUUCAAUAUAUUGUUAAAGAAUUGCAGAACAUCGAAAAACAGAACUUAGAAACUGAGAAGAAAGUUUUAAUGAAGUGUUUAAUAAAUGAAAAUAUACCAAUGUCCAAAAAUGAUGAAAUUAAUAAAACUAUUGAAGCUGAACAUGCUUUUCUAAGAAACUGCAACAAAUUAAAAAGUAAUUUUAAACGAAAAAAAUUUUAUCAAGAAAAUUUCACAUAUGUUAAACCAGUACAAAAAUUACUGUGUACUGUAAAUGGCAAGAAACAUUAUUUUCAUUAUGUUCCAGUCGGCGAAACUAUAAAAGCUAUGUUAAAAAAUAAAUCAUUUCCUGAUAUUUCUGUAAUUUCUGAAAGCUCGAAUGACGAUAUUCUUAGGGAUUUUACAGAUGGUAGCGUUUAUCGAUCAAAUGAUUUUUUUCAAACAAAUCCGGAAUCUCUCAAAAUUAUUUUGUAUCAAGACAGUUUUGAGGUAGUUAACCCCUUAGGUUCUGCGAAAGGAAAAUAUAAAAUACUCGCUGUGUAUCUUAGCUUAGGUAAUCUUCCGGAUUAUGUUAGGUCUCACAUUGAUUCUAUUCAGUUAGUUGCUUUGUGCCGAGAAAAGUACUUUGAUUGCGAGAAGGUUUACGGUACUAUAGUGGAAGAUAUACGAAAAAUUGAAAUAAAUGGACUAGAAAUUAAAGGUAAAUGUAUCAGAGGAACAGUAGCACAUAUUGCUGGCGACAAUCUUGGCAAUAAUGAUUUAGGCGGAUUUUGUACAAAUUUUAGUAGGUCAAUUUUUUUUGUAGGUAUUGUUUAAUUGAACGAAUUAAGGGAAUUAUACCAAUAAUAAAUGAUUCUGCUCCUCAAAACAUGCGUCAAAUUAAUUGUGAAAUAGAAGAAGACGAUGACAUUGAGGACUCAUUCGAUACAUCUGAUUCGAACAAAUCGUCUGAUAAUAAUUUGGAUACAUCAACUGAUUCAAACGUGUCAUCCGAUAGUGAACGUGAAUACAUCCGAUUCUAGCGAGUUGUCUGAAUGUGAUUCUUCUACUGAGGAUUUAGAGGAGGAAAAUUUAGAAGAUUAUUAUUUUUUUAAAACUUAUAGAAAAAGAACAGUCGAAGCGUAUCAGGAAUCACUCUCACAUGUUACUGAAGGCAAACACUUUCAAGGUGUAAAAUUUGAUUCGAUUUUUAACAGACUUCAAUAUUAUCACGUCUGUAAACCUGGUUUGUGCCCUUGUUGUGGCUAUGACUUUCUGGAAGGUGUAGUUGCAGUGGAUGUUCCAAUUUUUACAAAAUAUUUCGUGGAUCUAGAAUGGUUUACGUAUGCGGAACUAAAUAAGAGAAUUGAAAAUUUUAAAUAUUCAUCGACUGACAGUAGGGACAAACCAGCAAAAUUAAAAGAAAAUUGUUCUAGAUUAUCAGGAAGCGCAUGGCAAAAUUGGACAUUUCUAAGAUUGUAUCCACUCUUAAUUGGCGAUAAAAUAAAAAACUUUGAAGAUAAAGUAUGGCUUUGUCUUUUAAAAUUGUCGGAAAUAGUGGAAAUAAUAUUUGCUCCGGAAAUUAAUAAAAAUUUUGUCGCAUACCUUCAGGUCAUUAUCAACGAAUAUUUGUACUCUCGAAUGACCUUAUUUCCAAACAACAAGUUACUUCCGAAGCAUCAUUUCAUUAGUCACUAUCCAAAAUUGAUUCUUGAAUUUGGUCCCCUUCUAAAAGUUUGGACUCUCCGUUUCGAAAGCAAACACACUUUCUUCAAAUCAUGCAUAAGAAAUCUUAGAAACUUUAAAAAUGUAACAUUUUCCCUUGCUGAAAAACAUGAAUUGCAUCAAUGUUUGGUAAGGCAAGGUUCUCGUUUACGCCACGUACAGAGUGUCACAGGUGAAAUAAAAUUGCAACCGAAUUUGUAUUGUUUCAAUAUACGAAGAGCAAUUUUUGAAAAGGGUUUAAAUAAUAAUGACAUGAUGGAAUGCAGCUCAGCCAUCAUCAAACGGACUAAUUACAAAAGAGGAGACGUAGUUGUUGUAAGGCAAGAAAGAACACUACCAAUUUAACACUGUAUUUGGAAAAAUUUGCCUAAUAUUAUACGAUUGUCAGGAAAAAGUUUCUUUUGAAUUAGAAAUAUUAGAGGCAACUUUUAAACCUCAUCUUCGAGUAUAUGAAAUCGGAUCCAUUUUAAAUUACGAAUGUGUAUAUGCAAACGAUCUUGAAUAUUAUGAACCACUUCAUAUUUACUAUACGAAUAUUAUUCAACAAGUGCGUUUAAAGCAUGGUUUAGUAACACAUAUUUAAGAAUAUUGCGAAAAACAUUCUUUGCUACUAUUUAUACUUUACCAUAUGAUUACGAUUAAAAUUUUAAAUUGUGUAAGUAUGCUUCUCAAAAGUAAAAAAUUUAUUAUCAUGCUAAGUUUGUGACAAGCAAAGCAGUUGCUUUUUAUUAUCAUUUUUCCUUUUUUUGAUAAAACUUUAAUUUUUCUAGAAACAAGAUGUUUCUGUUUACGCUUAUAGAUUCAAGUAGAAAAAUGAGAUAUUUGGUAUCUGCAGACAAAAUAAAUGACAUAAUUGAAAAAGCCUGUGAGAAAAUGAAAUAACCUUCUCACCAAUAUAAGUUCAAAUUACAUCUGCUGUUUGCGAAAAAAGAUCACCCUUUUUUUCCCGUGGAGUGCAAUACCGGACUCAAUAACUGAAAAACUCGACAAGCAAGAAACAUUGUCCUAUAGAGACGGUAGAAAUUUGAGAAAAAUAUUAGGCACUAAUAUGGAUGGAAAUCUAAAAGAUUAUAGACGAAGCACUGCCAAGUUAUUGACUGAUUUAUUAGCUGACAAAUAUCCGGAAGCCCUUUAUGUACUAGACGCUAAUGGGGAAAAGAUAAAUGAUGGAAGAGAAGUUUUUUAAUUAAACUCUAUGAUCACGUAAAUAACAGAAAACCAGAUAAUGAAAAGAGUAAACGAAAAAGAAGAGCUACAAGUAGUAUUGAAGAAAAUGACAAUCUUGCUGAUUUAGGUUAUAUAUGCCACGAUGAAUACGGCUGCGUUGCUUACCAAGUACCGCUACCUCCUGAUGAAACAAAAUUAACCCAAGAAGAGAAACGCUUAGAGUUACUAGAAAAAAGAAUCUUGUGGAAAAAUCAGAAUCAAGAAGAAUUUCUUCAAAAUGAAAUUGGAUCUUUAAUGGAUAAAACCUAUUCUACGCAAAGAAUCGACAUUAGGUAUCGAGAGAGUUUCAGCGAAGUGUUAGUAAAAUUGCCGUGUCUGCAGGAUGUGCCAUUUUUUUAAGCAUGCAUCUACUUUGUUUGGCACAAAUCAAGGAGAUAUUUGGAUUCGAGAAGUACAAUCUAAAGGACCUGCUUUAUUUUCUUUUUUUGAAGAAGAAAUCAUUAAAAACACUCAAAUUUGCAAAAAAAGACAGGAUGCUAGAAAACAAAUGGAAAAUAUCAUUAACGAGGCACGCAUGGCAAGAAAAAAUUUACAUUGCGAAACACCCAAAAUAAUCGCAUUAUUUUGUUUGCUACCACAAUACUUUUUGGAAAAAGAAACUGAAGUCUUUCACUUUCUAUUGGACACAUCAUUACCAGAGACAGUGCAAUCAUUCGAAAACACUGAAAGACCUGUCUUCAUUAUAAAAGGAAAAUCAUUUUUUGACGAAGAAGCAAAAGGUGAAAUUUUCUUUGAGGGCGAAAAGAUUGUUGAAGCAAAAACGUACUUCAAGGAUUUCUUUACCUGUUUUUAUCGUACUAUAUAUAUGGAUAUACAUACGGCAAAGACAGUGAAUUGACUAUAAAGUUUAUCCAAAGAGUCUUUCAGAAAAUAAGCCCUGAAAAAGGACACAAAAGGGGGAAAAAGGCAAAACGAAAUCACCAUACAAUCAAUCCUCAAGUGCAAAAAUUAAUGAGCAGCAUUGGGGUAAAAAUAUGAAGAGAUAAAAAUGUCAUGAUAUAAAUAUUUUUUGUCAGUAAUAAUUUCUGAAUGAAAAAUAUUUUACUUCCAAUAAUAUUUAGUGGUUUCUUUAAAUUAAGCUUCUAAUUGAUGUUAUUAUCGAUUUUAAAGUUUAUAAGAAAAAAUA